rnacentral:rRNA from 1 species
GACGAACGCUGGCGGCGUGCCUAAUACAUGCAAGUAGAACGCACAGUUUAUACCGUAGCUUGCUACACCAUAAACUGUGAGUUGCGAACGGGUGAGUAACGCGUAGGUAACCUGCCUGGUAGCGGGGGAUAACUAUUGGAAACGAUAGCUAAUACCGCAUAAUAUUGAUUAUUGCAUGAUAAUUGAUUGAAAGAUGCUAUUGCAUCACUACCAGAUGGACCUGCGUUGUAUUAGCUAGUAGGUGAGGUAACGGCUCACCUAGGCGACGAUACAUAGCCGACCUGGGAGGGUGAUCGGCCACACUGGGACCGGGACACGGCCCAGACUCCUACGGGAGGCAGCAGGAGGGAAUCUUCGGCAAUGGACGAAAGUCUGACCGAGCAACGCCGCGUGAGUGAAGAAGGGUUUCGGAUCGUAAAGCUCUGUUGUAAGAGAAGAACGGGUGUGAGAGUGGAAAGUUCACACUGUGACGGUAUCUUACCAGAAAGGGACGGCUAACUACGUG